rnacentral:rRNA from 1 species
GACGAACGCUGGCGGCGUGCCUAAUACAUGCAAGUCGAACGCUGAAGGAGGAGCUUGCUUCUCUGGAUGAGUUGCGAACGGGUGAGUAACGCGUAGGUAACCUGCCUGGUAGCGGGGGAUAACUAUUGGAAACGAUAGCUAAUACCGCAUAAGAGUAGAUGUUGCAUGACAUUUUCUUAAAAGUUGUAAGUGUUUCAUUACCUGACGGACUUGCGUUGUAUUAGUUAGUUGGUGGGGUAACGGCGCACCAAGGCGAGGUUACAUAGCCGACCUGAGAGGGUGGUCAGCCGCACUGAGAGGGUGACACGGCCCAGUGGCCUACAGGAGGCAGCAGUAGGGAAUCUUCGGGAAUGGGCGGAAGUCUGACCGAGCAACGCCGCGGGAGUAAGGAGGGUUGUCGGGUCGGGAAGCUCGGUUGUCAGAGAGGAACGAGUGUGCGGGUGGAAAGUACACACUGUGACGGUACCUGAACAGAAAGCGACGGCUAACUACGUG